CAAUAGCGUAUAUUAAAGUUGUUGCAGUUAAAAAGCUCGUAGUCGGAUUUCUGGCUCGGUGGAACGGUCCAUUCGGCUUAGUCGAAUGUGAACCUGCUUUCAUCAGCCAUCCUCGUGGAUUGGCAUCCGGGCUACCCGCUUUGGGUGUUCGAUCCGCGUCAUUUACUGUGAACAAAUUAGAGUGUUCAAAGCAGGCUUACGCCACUGAAUACAUUAGCAUGGAAUAAUACUAUAGGACUUUGGUGUUUCUAUUGUUGGUUACGCGCCAAGGUAAUGAUUAAUAGGGAUAGUUGGGGGUAUUCGUAUUCAAUUGUCAGAGGUGAAAUUCAUGGAUUUCUGGAAGACGAACAACUGCGAAAGCAUUUACCAAGGAUGUUUUCAUUGA
rnacentral:rRNA from 1 species